rnacentral:rRNA from 1 species
AUUGGACGCUGGCGGCAUGCCUUACACAUGCAAGUCGAACGGCAGCACGGGUGCUAGCACCUGGUGGCGAGUGGCGAACGGGUGAGUAAUACAUCGGAACAUGUCCUGUAGUGGGGGAUAGCCCGGCGAAAGCCGGAUUAAUACCGCAUACGAUCUACGGAUGAAAGCGGGGGACCUUCGGGCCUCGCGCUAUAGGGUUGGCCGAUGGCUGAUUAGCUAGUUGGUGGGGUAAAGGCCUACCAAGGCGACGAUCAGUAGCUGGUCUGAGAGGACGACCAGCCACACUGGGACUGAGACACGGCCCAGACUCCUACGGGAGGCAGCAGUGGGGAAUUUUGGACAAUGGGCGAAAGCCUGAUCCAGCAAUGCCGCGUGUGUGAAGAAGGCCUUCGGGUUGUAAAGCACUUUUGUCCGGAAAGAAAUCCUUGGCCCUAAUACGGUCGGGGGAUGACGGUACCGGAAGAAUAAGCACCGGCUAACUACGUG